rnacentral:rRNA from 1 species
ACUCAAAGGAAUAGACGGGGGCCCGCACAAGCAGCGGAGCAUGUGGUUUAAUUCGAAGCAACGCGAAGAACCUUACCAAGGCUUGACAUCCCGUGCUAUCUGUGGAAACAUGGAGUCCCUUCGGGGCGCGGAGACAGGUGGUGCAUGGUUGUCGUCAGCUCGUGUCGUGAGAUGUUGGGUUAAGUCCCGCAACGAGCGCAACCCUUGCUCUCAGUUACCAUCGGGUAAAGCCGGGGACUCUGGGAGGACUGCCGGGGACAACUCGGAGGAAGGUGGGGACGACGUCAAAUCAUCAUGCCCCUUAUGUCUUGGGCUACACACGUGCUACAAUGGCCGCAACAAAGGGCAGCGAAAGGGCAACCUGGAGCGAAACCCAUAAAAUCGGUCUCAGUUCGGAUUGUGGGCUGCAACCCGCCCACAUGAAGUCGGAGUUGCUAGUAAUCGCGGAUCAGCAUGCCGCGGUGAAUGCGUUCCCGGGCCUUGUACACACCGCCCGU